GUUUGAUCAUGGCUCAGAUUGAACGCUGGCGGCAGGCCUAACACAUGCAAGUCGAACGGUAACAGGAAGCAGCUUGCUGCUUCGCUGACGAGUGGCGGACGGGUGAGUAAUGUCUGGGAAGCUGCCUGAUGGAGGGGGAUAACUACUGGAAACGGUAGCUAAUACCGCAUAAUGUCGCAAGACCAAAGAGGGGGACCUUCGGGCCUCUUGCCAUCGGAUGUGCCCAGAUGGGAUUAGCUUGUUGGUGGGGUAACGGCUCACCAAGGCGACGAUCCCUAGCUGGUCUGAGAGGAUGACCAGCCACACUGGAACUGAGACACGGUCCAGACUCCUACGGGAGGCAGCAGUGGGGAAUAUUGCACAAUGGGCGCAAGCCUGAUGCAGCCAUGCCGCGUGUAUGAAGAAGGCCUUCGGGUUGUAAAGUACUUUCAGCGGGGAGGAAGGGAGUAAAGUUAAUACCUUUGCUCAUUGACGUUACCCGCAGAAGAAGCACCGGCUAACUCCGUGCCAGCAGCCGCGGUAAUACGGAGGGUGCAAGCGUUAAUCGGAAUUACUGGGCGUAAAGCGCACGCAGGCGGUUUGUUAAGUCAGAUGUGAAAUCCCCGGGCUCAACCUGGGAACUGCAUCUGAUACUGGCAAGCUUGAGUCUCGUAGAGGGGGGUAGAAUUCCAGGUGUAGCGGUGAAAUGCGUAGAGAUCUGGAGGAAUACCGGUGGCGAAGGCGGCCCCCUGGACGAAGACUGACGCUCAGGUGCGAAAGCGUGGGGAGCAAACAGGAUUAGAUACCCUGGUAGUCCACGCCGUAAACGAUGUCGACUUGGAGGUUGUGCCCUUGAGGCGUGGCUUCCGGAGCUAACGCGUUAAGUCGACCGCCUGGGGAGUACGGCCGCAAGGUUAAAACUCAAAUGAAUUGACGGGGGCCCGCACAAGCGGUGGAGCAUGUGGUUUAAUUCGAUGCAACGCGAAGAACCUUACCUGGUCUUGACAUCCACGGAAGUUUUCAGAGAUGAGAAUGUGCCUUCGGGAACCGUGAGACAGGUGCUGCAUGGCUGUCGUCAGCUCGUGUUGUGAAAUGUUGGGUUAAGUCCCGCAACGAGCGCAACCCUUAUCCUUUGUUGCCAGCGGUCCGGCCGGGAACUCAAAGGAGACUGCCAGUGAUAAACUGGAGGAAGGUGGGGAUGACGUCAAGUCAUCAUGGCCCUUACGACCAGGGCUACACACGUGCCACAAUGGCGCAUACAAAGAGAAGCGACCUCGCGAGAGCAAGCGGACCUCAUAAAGUGCGUCGUAGUCCGGAUUGGAGUCUGCAACUCGACUCCAUGAAGUCGGAAUCGCUAGUAAUCGUGGAUCAGAAUGCCACGGUGAAUACGUUCCCGGGCCUUGUACACACCGCCCGUCACACCAUGGGAGUGGGUUGCAAAAGAAGUAGGUAGCUUAACCUUCGGGAGGGCGCUUACCACUUUGUGAUUCAUGACUGGGGUGAAGUCGUAACAAGGUAACCGUAGGGGAA
rnacentral:rRNA from 1 species